rnacentral:lncRNA from 1 species
CGUUCGACUAAAGGCGGUGCUUCAGAAUGGCCGCAGUCAAAUGGCUGAAACAAGUAAAAGAAAAAUAUGUGUGUGUUAUUCUUAUGUUACUCUUAUGUAUUGAUUAAUAUGUAAGAGACGGCAACAUAAAUAUACGUUUGUAUGUACUUACGCGAGUGCUUGUGUAUGUAAGUUUUCUUGCAAAUAUUAACAGUUUUCGUGUGCAUGCGUUGCCGAUUGUUUCCUUUAGGAUAGCAGAAAAUUCUAUACGUUGAAUCACAGAAAACACACACGUGUGUGUGUAAGCAUAUUAUUGUAGAACACAAUAAUUUCCUAUCAAUCAAAUCAUUUGCUAAAAAAUCGCCGCAUAAGUCCGCUCUGAAAUGCAGUCCAACAACGAUUCUUUUACACAGUAUGCUGUAAAACAUCACGUGACACAGGCAAUUAGCAAUAAGUUGGGUUUUUUUUUUUUAGGCCUGUGACAAUAGUCUACUUUAUAAAAAUACAACAGAACUAAACACCUCGCAAAAAUUGCAUCAAACAAACAUACAAUUGGGAGGAAAAAACCUGUUUAUCGCUAGUGCAGAUCUUAAACGGAAAUCGCGACGGACUUCGUCAGUCAGCUUCAGUAAACGAAACAAUAGUAAAUGCAUCAUUCCACAUCGCAUGCAUAACAACUGUGACUGGCCGACGUUCUGUACGAAUCGGCAUAAAAAGCGAAUGAAAUGAAAGAAAAAGCUCUUUAAAUAAAAUAAAUAAAUAAAACCUCCAUAGAAUUCAAUGGUACGAGUAUCUCAGACGGGCAUAAUAAUUGAAUGUAUAUAUAUAUAUAUAUAUA